UCAAACUUGGUCAUUUAGAGGAAGUAAAAGUCGUAACAAGGUCUCCGUAGGUAAGUAAAGCCACUCCCCUAUUACCCCCCUACAUUUUAAAGUGCUAAUUAACUUUUAACAGGUGAACCUGCGGAGGGAUCAUUACCGAGGAUGGCGGCUCUUCAGGCCACCGCCUCACCACACUUUGCUUAAAACCCCCCCCCUUUUCGGGGCACCUGCUUCGGCCGAUGGCCGGCUGGGAGGGAGCGCGCUCCAGCCCAGCUGGCCCGACGUCCAGCGGUGGGGCCCCCAAACCCUAACCUGAGUAUCGGUGUGUCUUAGGUGGCAAGAAGCCAAACCAAACACAACCUACAACGAUGGAUCUCUUGGCUCUGGCAUCGAUGAAGAACGCAGC
rnacentral:misc_RNA from 1 species